rnacentral:tRNA from 1 species
GGUGAUGUAGCUCAGCUGGUUAGAGCGCAGGAUUCAUAAUCCUGAGGUCGGGAGUUCAAUUCUCCCCAUCACCACCA